UAGGGAAUCUUCCACAAUGGGCGAAAGCCUGAUGGAGCAACGCCGCGUGUGAUGAAGGGUUUCGGCUCGUAAAACACUGUUGUAAGAGAAGAAUGACAUUGAGAGUAACUGUUCAAUGUGUGACGGUAUCUUACCAGAAAGGAACGGCUAAAUACGUGCCAG
rnacentral:rRNA from 1 species